rnacentral:rRNA from 1 species
GAUGAACGCUGGCGGCGUGCCUAAUACAUGCAAGUCGAGCGAACAGAGGAGGAGCUUGCUCCUCUGACGUUAGCGGCGGACGGGUGAGUAACACGUGGAUAACCUACCUAUAAGACUGGGAUAACUUCGGGAAACCGGAGCUAAUACCGGAUAAUAUAUUGAACCGCAUGGUUCAAUAGUGAAAGACGGUUUUGCUGUCACUUAUAGAUGGAUCCGCGCCGCAUUAGCUAGUUGGUAAGGUAACGGCUUACCAAGGCAACGAUGCGUAGCCGACCUGAGAGGGUGAUCGGCCACACUGGAACUGAGACACGGUCCAGACUCCUACGGGAGGCAGCAGUAGGGAAUCUUCCGCAAUGGGCGAAAGCCUGACGGAGCAACGCCGCGUGAGUGAUGAAGGUCUUCGGAUCGUAAAACUCUGUUAUUAGGGAAGAACAAAUGUGUAAGUAACUAUGCACGUCUUGACGGUACCUACUCAGAAAGCCACGGCUAACUACGUG